rnacentral:rRNA from 1 species
UACGGGGGGGGCAAGCGUUGUUCGGAAUUACUGGGCGUAAAGCGUGCGCAGGCGGUUUUGCAAGCCGGAUGUGAAAUCCCCGGGCUCAACCUGGGAACUGCAUCUGUGACUGCAUCGCUGGAGUGCGGCAGAGGGGGAUGGAAUUCCGCGUGUAGCAGUGAAAUGCGUAGAUAUGCGGAGGAACACCGAUGGCGAAGGCAAUCCCCUGGGCCUGCACUGACGCUCAUGCACGAAAGCGUGGGGAGCAAACAGG